rnacentral:rRNA from 1 species
CCUACGGGAGGCUGCAGUGGGGAAUAUUGCACAAUGGGGGAAACCCUGAUGCAGCGACGCCGCGUGAGUGAAGAAGUAUUUCGGUACGUAAAGCUCUAUCAGCAGGGAAGAAAAUGACGGUAACUGACCAAGAAGCCCCGGACAACUACGGGCCAGCAGCCGCGGUAAUACGCAGGGGGCAAGCGUUAGCCGGAUUUACUGGGGGUAAAGGGAGCGUAGACGGCAGCGCAAGUCUGGAGUGAAAUCCCAUGGCUUAACCAUGGAACUGCUUUGGAAACUGUGCAGCUAGAGUGCAGGAGAGGUAAGCGGAAUUCCUAGUGUAGCGGUGAAAUGCGUAGAUAUUAGGAGGAACACCAGUGGCGAAGGCGGCUAACUGGACUGUAACUGACGUUGAGGCUCGAAAGCGUGGGGAGCAAACAGGAUUAGAUACCCGGGUAGUC